rnacentral:rRNA from 1 species
UACGUAGGGGGCUAGCGUUGUCCGGAAUUAUUGGGCGUAAAGGGCUCGUAGGCGGUUUGUCGCGUCGGGAGUGAAAUCAUCUGGCUUAACUGGGUGCUUGCUUUCGAUACGGGCAGACUAGAGGUAUGCAGGGGAGAACGGAAUUCCUGGUGUAGCGGUGAAAUGCGCAGAUAUCAGGAGGAACACCGGUGGCGAAGGCGGUUCUCUGGGCAUGAUCUGACGCUGAGGAGCGAAAGUGUGGGGAGCGAACAGG